rnacentral:lncRNA from 1 species
AAGCAAAUGAAGCGAUUGCCAAGCUCCUUAUUAGGGGCUUGCUGUUUGCUUGUUUGGUGCUGUAGGUCACACCCAGGGCCUGGCAUACACCGAGCACUUUCUAAACACCAAAUACUGUUUCUGUCUCCUUACCUAGCAACUAAAUUCUUUUUUAGCCUUAAACUCACUAUGUAGCUGAUUAUCUUCUUGAACUUCUGAUCCAGCUCUGCUAAGAUUACAGGUGUGCUGAAUGGUUUUCGUCUCAUCCUGACACAAGCUUGGGUCACCUGGGAACAGUUAACCUCAAAUGAGAAGGUGCCUUCAUCAGACUGGCCUGGGGUCCAAUCCGCUGUGGGUGGUGUCACCCCUGGGCCGGCAGUCCCCGGUUGUGUUGAAAAGCGGGCAGAGCAAGCCAUGUUGAGCAAGACAGGUUGAGAACUGCUGCUCUACAGCCUGCUUCAGUUCCUGCCUCCAGUUCCUGCUUUGGUUUCCUGCCCUGACUUCCCUCGGUGAUAGACCCUGGUUUUGGAACUCUGUGUCUGCGUGUUGUAGUGUUAUGAACUUGUCAAGGUAGAACCAGAUUCCGACCGCUCACUCUGGCGCCUCAGGUGGCAAUGUGUGUCAGCAAUUGCAGUUUCAGGAUCUGGCCCAGCAGUCUCAAAAUAUGCCAGAAAGAACCAUCUUGUCAUCAUUUCUUUCAAUUUCAUGGUGCCAGGAUAGAGCCCAAGCCUGUAGGCUACCUGGGCAACUGUCCUACCAAGCAGCUCACCCCUCCCACCACCGUCCUUUUAGCAGCUGAAGGAGCAGGCACUUUAGUGCCUCUCACACUGAUCAAGGUUUUCAGAAGACAGAAGGAAACUAGGCACCAAAACCUCACUCACACGGAGCUUGUGUGCAGAAGGGUGUGAACCAGACGCCGCUUAAACACAUCUGGUUUUGUUUUUAUUUUUUUGUUUGUUUACUGCUUUUUGUUUUGUGUUGCUUUGUUUUGAGUCAGGGCCUUACUUUGUGGCUCUAAGUUACAUCCUCAAAUACAUCCCUAGUCUCUGCCUCCCAAGUGCGGAGGUUAAAGGCAUGUGCCACAACCAUGCAUAGUUUAACCGUGUUUUUCUUUACUCUACUUGUAACGCUGAGAAUGUAGCUAAUGGGUAGACUAUGUGCUUAGAGUGUGCAAGGCCUCAGGCUCAACGGCCAGCGUCAGAGCAGUCACCUGCUGCUAUGGAAAUCUUAACGACUUCAUUAUGGAUUUUUAAGAACACCUACGGAAAAACAUUAUACCACAAUCUGUUAUUUUUCUGAAUCUAAGAAAGUGUGAUGAUUC